AUUGAACGCUGGCGGCAUGCCUUACACAUGCAAGUCGAACGGCAGCACGGGAGCAAUCCUGGUGGCGAGUGGCGAACGGGUGAGUAAUAUAUCGGAACGUGCCCAGUAGUGGGGGAUAACUGCUCGAAAGAGCAGCUAAUACCGCAUACGACCUGAGGGUGAAAGGGGGGGAUCGCAAGACCUCUCGCUAUUGGAGCGGCCGAUAUCAGAUUAGCUAGUUGGUGGGGUAAAGGCCUACCAAGUCAACGAUCUGUAGUUGGUCUGAGAGGACGACCAGCCACACUGGGAGUGAGGCACGGCCCAGACUCCUACGGGAGGCAGCAGUGGGGAAUUUUGGACAAUGGGCGCAAGCCUGAUCCAGCAAUGCCGCGUGCAGGAAGAAGGCCUUCGGGUUGUAAACUGCUUUUGUCAGGGAAGAAAUACUGUAGGUUAAUACCCUUGGGGGGAUGACGGUACCUGAAGAAUAAGCACCGGCUAACUACGUGCCAGCCGCCGCGGUAAAAC
rnacentral:rRNA from 1 species